rnacentral:rRNA from 1 species
GGAAUAUUGCGCAAUGGGGGAAACCCUGACGCAGCCAUGCCGCGUGAGUGAAGAAGGCCUUCGGGUUGUAAAACUCUUUCAGAUGCGAAGAUAAUGACGGUAACAUCAGAAGAAGCCCCGGCUAAAUUCGUGCCAGCAGCCGCGGUAAUACGAAUGGGGCGAGCGUUGUUCGGAAUCACUGGGCUUAAAGCGUGCGUAGGCGGAUAUGAAAGUCAGAAGUGAAAUCCCAGGGCUUAACCCUGGAACUGCUUUUGAAACUUCAUAUCUAGAGUCCCGGAGAGGUUAACGGAAUUCCGAGUGUAGAGGUGAAAUUCGCAGAUAUUCGGAGGAACACCAGUGGCGAAGGCGGUUAACUUGACGGGUACUGACGCUGAGGUACGAAAGCGUGGGGAGCA